UACGAAGGGGGCUAGCGUUGCUCGGAAUUACUGGGCGUAAAGCGCACGUAGGCGGAUUGUUAAGUCGGGGGUGAAAUCCUGGAGCUCAACUCCAGAACUGCCUUCGAUACUGGCGAUCUCGAGUUCGGGAGAGGUGAGUGGAACUGCGAGUGUAGAGGUGAAAUUCGUAGAUAUUCGCAAGAACACCAGUGGCGAAGGCGGCUCACUGGCCCGAUACCGACGCUGAGGUGCGAAAGCGUGGGGAGCAAACAGG
rnacentral:rRNA from 1 species